rnacentral:lncRNA from 1 species
UAGCAAGCCUCUGAAGGGCAGAGGAAGACUGAGCAUGCACAGUGUAUCGUCAUGCAGAUGUGAAUUUUCCUCUUUGGAAGAUUGCUUAUUGUUUUGGAUGCCCUCAAGAACCAGAGUCAGAAAUUGGAGGUCCUGGUUUUGAAGAAAUGCUACAGACUGUGAGCCCAUCCUAUUUAUAUCUGGCCUUUUUUCUACAAUUAACAGAAUUGCCCAUGUUUCCUCUUAAAUACAACUUGG